rnacentral:rRNA from 1 species
GAUGAACGCUGGCGGCGUGCCUAAUACAUGCAAGUCGAGCGAACAGACGAGGAGCUUACUCCUCUGACGUUAGCGGCGGACGGGUGAGUAACACGUGGAUACCUACCUAUAAGACUGGGAUAACUUCGGGAAACCGGAGCUAAUACCGGAUAACAUGUUGAACCGCAUGGUUCAACAGUGAAAGACGGUCUUGCUGUCACUUAUAGAUGGAUCCGCGUCGCAUUAGCUAGUUGGUAAGGUAACGGCUUACCAAGGCAACGAUGCGUAGCCGACCUGAGAGGGUGAUCGGCCACACUGGAACUGAGACACGGUCCAGACUCCUACGGGAGGCAGCAGUAGGGAAUCUUCCGCAAUGGGCGAAAGCCUGACGGAGCAACGCCGCGUGAGUGAAGAAGGUCUUCGGAUCGUAAAACUCUGUUAUUAGGGAAGAACAAAUGUGUAAGUAACUAUGCACGUCUUGACGGUACCUAAUCAGAAAGCCACGGCUAACUACGUG